rnacentral:lncRNA from 1 species
GUAGAAUUUUUGGGUUUGGUUAAUUUAUUUAUUUAUAAACUUGUGCCUACAGCUGUAAUGUCUCUGCUGCGGCUCUAAGUAUCCAUUCUUGUGUGCAUUAGGUGGUCCAAUCGUGUAACACCGAGACCCCCUCUGCAACGGGCCUGCAGACCCGCUCCUUUGACCUCGUGGGAAUUCGGGAAGCGGCACACGGCUCUGCGAGGAAGCCUUGAUCUUUGUCCUUUGAAGGUGCCACCCAGGAAACCUUCAGGAGCGGCUGAGGAGUUGCUCCAGGCAGAACCUGCCUGGAGGGCGUGGGCAAAGCGUGCGGCCCGAGGAGCGCGGCGUUCUUAGGAGAAUGCUGGGCAAUGGACCACAGCCCGGUGACCAUAGGACAUUCCCAGCAGGCGAGGCAGCCUCCAUUCACAAGUGACAUGGAUUCUCAUCCCCAGAUGUCUGAGAGAUAAGUCAAGGGCUAAGGCCCACAGAGGGGAUGAAAGCAAGGUGCUGGGAGGGCCUUUUG